UGAACUGCGUGGCUCGUUCAAAAAGCAGACGAUCUGAAGGGACAGGGAGACAGCACUCCAAACACACAGGAAGAGGACAGUAAGACAAGCAUCUCAUCCCAACAUCUGAAGAAAGAUUUUUCCCUCUGUGACUGCCUGCUGCCGCUGGUGUCUGGCACCAUGUUGCAGAUGAAUGUUGCUGCAAUGCUGUUGCUGCUGCUGGCAGCUGCUCGGUGCUGUGACUCGGCGCCUGCGAAUCACCAGGAGCACGACGAGGAGGCCGAGGAGAAGGAGCACGAGGAGCUGGACGAGGAGGUGCACCACAUGCAUGGCAUGAACAAGUGCAGAGGAGGAUGCCCCCCAGACGUGGACUGCGAAUUUUCCGUGACCCUGCCGGAAGUGUGUUGUCCAGUCUGCAUGAAACACAAAGAAGAAUCAAGUUCAUCCGAGUCCCUCUCUUCUGAAACCGAUGAAUGUGCGAGCGUCCGAUGCCUGCCCCCAGACUGCUCCUCCCCCGUCAGGCCGCCAGGCAACUGCUGCUACGUGUGUGUGUAACGAGUGGUGCCAGAAGAAAUGCAAUGUUUGACCUGAACAAGGAACAGGAUUUAUGGAUGUAGUCGAAGACGCCUUUAGACUCUUUCUUCUUUCUCCGACAAUCUUCCACCAUCAUUUUUUUUUCUUUCACAAGCAAGAAAAGAUAGGGUCAACACUAAUACAACAGUCGUCCAGCUAGACGCAACCUCAACCCAGCAGAGAGCCAAGAUAGUCCCAACCUCAACCCAGCAGAGAGCCAAGAUACACUCGACAAAUGGCUCUAAAGCCUUAUGCUAGGUGGCGCUGUUAGCUCUGUUGUAUCCUAACUCUUCGUUCAAUCUGUUCUGUCAGAAUGUCAAUAAAGCUGAAUUCAGUGA